GGAUGUGGGAUUGCACAGACAACCAGGAUGUUGGCUUAGAAGCAGCCACUCAUUCAAAGAGUGCGUAAUAGCUCACUGGUCGAGUGAUCCUGCGCCGAAGAUUUCCGGGGCUAAAACUUACUACCGAAGCUACGGCAUCAGUAAUGAUGGGCAGGGGAGCUUCCCAUACGGGUUGAAGCAUGACCGUAAGGACAUGUGGACAGUAUGGGAGUGAGAAUGUUGGCAUGAGUAGCGAGAUGUGGGUGAGAAUCCCACAGGCCGUAAACCCAAGGUUUCCAGGGGAAGUUUCGUCCGCCC
rnacentral:rRNA from 1 species